UACUUAGGUGGCAAGCGUUGUCCGGAAUUACUGGGCGUAAAGCGCGCGUAGGCGGCUUGAUAAGCCGGUUGUGAAAGCCCCGGGCUCAACCUGGGAACGGCAUCCGGAACUGUUUGGCUAGAGUGCAGGAGAGGAAGGUAGAAUUCCCGGUGUAGCGGUGAAAUGCGUAGAGAUGUGGAGGAACACCAGUGGCGAAGGCGACCUUCUGGACUGACACUGACGCUGAGGUGCGAAAGCGUGGGUAGCAAACAGG
rnacentral:misc_RNA from 1 species